UACGAAGGGAGCUAGCGUUGUUCGGAAUCACUGGGCGUAAAGCGCACGUAGGCGGAUUUGUUAGUCAGGGGUGAAAUCCCGGGGCUCAACCUCGGAACUGCCUUUGAUACUGCAAAUCUCGAGUCCGGAAGAGGUGGGUGGAAUUCCGAGUGUAGAGGUGAAAUUCGUAGAUAUUCGGAGGAACACCAGUGGCGAAGGCGGCUCACUGGUCCAUUACUGACGCUGAGGUGCGAAAGCGUGGGGAGCGAACCGG
rnacentral:rRNA from 1 species